UACGUAGGGUGCGAGCGUUGUCCGGAAUUAUUGGGCGUAAAGGGCUCGUAGGCGGUUUGUCGCGUCGGGAGUGAAAUCCACUGGCUUAACUGGUGGCUUGCUUUCGAUACGGGCAGACUAGAGUGCGGUAGGGGAGACUGGAAUUCCUGGUGUAGCGGUGAAAUGCGCAGAUAUCAGGAGGAACACCGGUGGCGAAGGCGGGUCUCUGGGCCGUAACUGACGCUGAGGAGCGAAAGCAUGGGGAGCGAACAGG
rnacentral:rRNA from 1 species